AUUAGCAAACGAAGCUUUGCUGUUUGUUGCUGUUUGUUGACUGCACAAAACAGCGAAGACAAUAUUGUCUCUGCAAGAGGGUCGUGUGAUCAGUCAUUAAACGGCUGCGACGGUGUUGAGUUCGACCUCGGGAGUCGCGCUUUAAGCUUUGUUAUAAUAACUGGGCUCUUAGUAAACACUGCGAACUGUGCUUAGUGAAUGUGUUUUUUUUGUGUUUCUGUGCCGUUCUCGCUGUGAGUACUGAUUUGUAGUAAAUUAACGGAACUGCCCUUAAUAUCGCAAUAAUUUUAAGGUAAAAAAAUGUACUAAAAUUGUGAAUAUCUAAGGAAGUUGAAGAAUUAAUUAUAAUUAAAUAAUUACAAAAAAAAAAAAAAUACAAAAGUUGUUUUGUUAAUUAUAUACAAACACACAUUUCUAAUUGACCAAUGACGAAAACUUCAACAACAAGAGCAACAACAACAACAAUAACAACAGCAGCAGCAGCA